rnacentral:rRNA from 1 species
UACGUAGGGAGCAAGCGUUGUUCGGAUUUACUGGGCGUAAAGGGUGCGUAGGCGGCGCGGUAAGUCACUUGUGAAAUCUCUGAGCUUAACUCAGAACGGCCAAGUGAUACUGCAGUGCUAGAGUGCAGAAAGGGCAAUCGGAAUUCUUGGUGUAGCGGUGAAAUGCGUAGAUAUUGGGAGGAACACCAGUGGCGAAGGCGGCUCACUGGACCGGUACUGACGCUGAGGCGCGAAAGCGUGGGGAGCAAACAGG